UACGUAGGGUCCGAGCGUUAUCCGGAUUCAUUGGGCGUAAAGAGCUCGUAGGCGGCUAUCCAAGUCGAACGUGAAAUCUCGGAGCUCAACUCCGAGCCUGCGUUCGAUACUGUAUGGCUAGAGUCUGGUAGGGGGAUCUGGAAUUCCUGGUGUAGCGGUGGAAUGCGCAGAUAUCAGGAGGAACACCGGUGGCGAAGGCGGGAUCCUGGGCCAGUACUGACGCUGAGGAGCGAAAGCGUGGGGAGCGAACAGG
rnacentral:rRNA from 1 species